rnacentral:rRNA from 1 species
UACCAGCACCCCGAGUGGUCGGGACGUUUAUUGGGCCUAAAGCAUCCGUAGCCGGUUCUACAAGUCUUCCGUUAAAUCCACCUGCUUAACAGAUGGGCUGCGGAAGAUACUAUAGAGCUAGGAGGCGGGAGAGGCAAGCGGUACUCGAUGGGUAGGGGUAAAAUCCGUUGAUCCAUUGAAGACCACCAGUGGCGAAGGCGGCUUGCCAGAACGCGCUCGGACGGUGAGGGAUGAAAGCUGGGG